UUCUUUUUUUUUUGACAAUAUCUAAUGGAAAAAAGUUUUAAGUCGGCUAAAAAAAAUUCAUGAAAAAAAAGAAAUUUAACAUGAUGCAAAUGCUAAUUUGAGCACUAAAGAGCUUGGCUUUUUUUAGUUUAACUUACUUGGAUUUUAAAACCUUUAUUUGUUGCCCAAUACGCUCCAGUCCAUCGCAUAUUUGUAUUCUUCAUUUUCUCAAUACACUAUAUGAAUCAAAUAACUUUAGUUAACAAAAUAAUAUAUUUCUCCAUUUUUGUUUUAAAAACAUUUUUAAGUUUUAAGCUUUGAUUUUUUAUUCUUUCAUUGAAAAUUUAAGUUUUGAAAACACUCAAAGUUAUUUUUUUUUUUGAACUAAACACUCAAGGUUACUUCUAACCUGAAAUAUGAAAAAAAAAAAGAUAUUCUCGAUUGAUAAUAGAAGGAAACUGAAUCUAAAUUAAGAGUAAUCAUAAACCAUGUAUGAAUUAUUAUUUUGCAUCAGUCAAAAACCUCAGUCCUAAAAACAAAAAAAAUAGGAAGUGAUGAAUAAAAAAUUAUUUUGCUAUCAUCUGUUUUACCUUUGGUGGUUUUCCAUGUGUCAUUCUUUCUCUCUUUAUAUGUUUUAUUUCUUCUGUCUUAUUCUGUAGUUAUAAUUUUUUAUCAUUUUAAUUUUUAAAUAUGAAUUCCUGAUAAAACGAUCAUGAAGAAGAAGAAGAAGAGAGAGUAGAAGAGAAAGAGAUUGAAUAAAGAACAAAUUAAUAGAUGGGAAUUUAUAUAGAAAAUAAAACAGUUUUAAAUCAUGAUCUUUACUUUUGAUCGUAGUGUUGAGGAUUUUUUAAACGUGGUGUUGAGAAAAAUUAGGAAUUUGGUUAUUAGGAAUUAGAAAAAUUGGAAUCAAUAUAUUUUUUUGUUUAUUUAUUUAUUUAUUUUUGUUUUAAACAUAUUUCAUGUGUCAAGAUUUUAUUGGUGAUGUGAUUUGUGUUUUAGUAUAUAUGAGAUACAGUCACUACUGUUCACGGUUUUAAAGACUAUUUUAGGUGUGCAAAAAAAAAUUAAUAUUGCAAUGGGUCAAUUAUCUCGUGUGGCCACAUGAUAUAGAGUAUGAUUGGUAAAUGUGAGAGGAAUUGAGAGUAAAUUAAAAUAGAUGAAAUGAGUGGAAAACUUUUAGAGUAAAUAAAAGAAAAAAUAUAUGAAACAGUAAAAGUAGCGCAACCGUUUCUCUUUCCAUAAAUCAUAAGGUACAAAAGUGAAUUGUUUUACUCCAUUUAAAUAGUAUUUAGAAUAACAAGAUAAAAAAACGUUUUGCCUGUGAUUGGAACAACAAAAGCUGAACUGAGAGUAAAUGUCAAAUCCAGAGUAAAAUUUUACUCUAAUGAGUACAUACAGUCAUACCCACAGUGUAAUAGGAUACUUUCGGAUUGGAUUUUGGAUCUAGAAGUAGCAGCGUAAAACCUGCCUACCUCUAACCCACCAUCACAUAGUUUUAUUACUAUUUUUUUUGUCAGCACAUAGUUUUAUUACUAUAUCAGUAAAAUUUUAUUACUAUAUGGAUUCAUAGUAAUGAUACAAAAGUGAGUAGUAAGUUUUUUUUUUUUGUGAAUAUAUUGGAAUCAUUGUAAUCUUGCAUGUAGAAAUAAUAAGUCAUUCAUUUAUGUAUAUAAUAUACGUACUUUUAACUUUUCAUAUUUUCUUAUGUUUUUUUUAAAUCAAAACCAAAUUCCUAAUUUUUCUCCGUUUAAAAAGAUCCUCGUCACUAUGAUCAAAGUAAAGAUCAUGAUUUAAAACUGUUUUAUUUUCUAUAUAAAUUCUCAUCUAUUAAUUUGUUUUUUGUUCAAUCUCUUUCUCUUCUACUCUCUCUUCUUCUUCUUCUUCUUCGUGAUCUUUUUAUAAGGCAUUCAUAUUUAAAAAUUAAAAUGAUAAAAAUUUAUAACUACAGACUAAGACAGAAGAAGAAAACAUAUAAACAGAGAAAGAAUGACGCAUGGAAAACCAGCCAAGUGUAUUGAGAAAAUGAAGAAUACAAAUAUGCGAUGAACUGGAGCGUAUUGGGCAACAAAUAAAGGUUUUAAAAUCCAACUUUUACUCCUCUCACAUAACUCAGACCUUUUAAAAAUUCAUGGCGGGUUCAAAGUUAAAUGACAUUCAUGGAAGCAACACACGUCGUUUGGAGGAGAUACCUUCGAGAUUGUUUUAGCCGACCAAAUGGGUAACAUAAUCCAUUCUACUUGCAAAAUAACUCACAUGUACCGAGCUCAACGUGCCGCAAUGUUUAGAACGAUCUUGAUCUCGCCUAACUAACGAUUUCAAUUUUUACCAAAUUUAAAAAAACAAACAACCUUAACGUAUCUCUCUAUAUGAAGGUCCUACUAAUUUUUUUUGCACAGACAGAAGUCAGAUUUUCUUUGAGAAUGUAAAACAAUUAGUUUAGUAUUGUGUACUAACUAUCUUAUUGUUCAGAUACGAUCAACUGCAGUAAUCCAUAGAUAAGCAUGAUCUCAUUCCA